UGUUACCAAUGUGAGAAAAAUGAAGGCACUAGAAACGGAAAUCCUGUAAAUGCUCUCCUUUCCAUCCAACAUAUCCACCUGCAGAAGUCAGGGAAAGAAGAGAGAAGAAAUCAAGAGAAUACUAACUAAUAAAUUAAAAGUUUUCAGAAGCAAAAUCUAAAGCCAGAUGGGCACCAUCUGGUGAGUUUAUUCACCAUCCUUCUCUGCUGCUGAUUCUGGGCUCUAACGUUGGCCAUACUCACUCAGCCACUUUUGUUGCUGCCUCUCGGCCAGAGGAAGCUGAAAUACUGAAACUACCGAACCAUGGCCUCCUUUGGAAAGGUCUGGUUGGUGUGGCUCUGAUGGGCUGCCACCUAUGAACUUGGUGUGUUCCAGCAACACUGGUUUCAUAUAGUCCUUUGGCACUCCUUUGUUCUGUUGACUUUGUCCCCCAGUCAUGAGUACUGGGGAAUGCCUACCUACUUUCUCAUCUUGGCCACUGUCUCUUCACAUAGCUCUUAAAUUCAUCUGCUAAACAACAAAUUAGAAGCCAGUCACCAAGCUGCCUGUUUCAGCUAGUUCACUCUACUUGUUGUUGAGAAGAUAGUUUCUGAGUGACAUGAUAUGAUCUACAUGGGUUUCCUCCCCUGAUUUCUGCUGAUAUUAAUAGCCAAAUGAACCUGCAAAACAGCUUCUUUAAAUAACAAGGGAGAGGGGAACUUAAGAUGUGUGUUACACCAAUCCAAGUCUGCUGGACAAAACUAAAGCUGACAGGUUCUCUUUAUAGGGUAGGAUAGAACAAUUCUGUUUUUCUUUGUUAUGACACCAUUUGGCUUAUGGGAUCACUUUUAGCUGUUUUAAAGAGAAAAAAAAAACCCACCACUCUAUUCAUUUAAACUAGGUUACUUUUUAAUAGUUCCUUUAUAUCUGUUUUGAAAUGAUCCUCAUCUUUUGUGGUACAUGGAUUUGAGUAUAUUAUUUUAAUACCUCUCCUUGUAAAUACUAGAUGCUCUCCUUUCCAUUUCUCUGGGUAUCAAGGUUUUCAUCUUUAUAGAUUUCCCAAUCGUGACUCUUGUCUUUAUGAGUAUAUGUUUUUCACUUGUGAAAGCCAAAAAUCAGUGAAAUGGCAGUGUAAUUAAAAACAGAAACAACUAGAUUACUCUGAACUCCCAAAUGGCAAGACAAG
rnacentral:lncRNA from 1 species